rnacentral:rRNA from 1 species
GAAUUCGCCCUUAGAGUUUGAUCCUGGCUCAGGACGAACGCUGGCGGCGCGCCUAACACAUGCAAGUCGAACGAGCGAGAGAGAGCUUGCUUUCUCGAGCGAGUGGCGAACGGGUGAGUAACGCGUGAGGAACCUGCCUCAAAGAGGGGGACAACAGUUGGAAACGACUGCUAAUACCGCAUAAGCCCACGGCUCGGCAUCGAGCAGAGGGAAAAGGAGCAAUCCGCUUUGAGAUGGCCUCGCGUCCGAUUAGCUAGUUGGUGAGGUAACGGCCCACCAAGGCGACGAUCGGUAGCCGGACUGAGAGGUUGAACGGCCACAUUGGGACUGAGACACGGCCCAGACUCCUACGGGAGGCAGCAGUGGGGAAUAUUGCACAAUGGGGGAAACCCUGAUGCAGCGACGCCGCGUGGAGGAAGAAGGUCUUCGGAUUGUAAACUCCUGUUGUUGGGGAAGAUAAUGACGGUACCCAACAAGGAAGUGACGGCUAACUACGUGCCAGCAGCCGCGGUAAAACGUAGGUCACAAGCGUUGUCCGGAAUUACUGGGUGUAAAGGGAGCGCAGGCGGGAAGACAAGUUGGAAGUGAAAUCUAUGGGCUCAACCCAUAAACUGCUUUCAAAACUGUUUUUCUUGAGUAGUGCAGAGGUAGGCGGAAUUCCCGGUGUAGCGGUGGAAUGCGUAGAUAUCGGGAGGAACACCAGUGGCGAAGGCGGCCUACUGGGCACCAACUGACGCUGAGGCUCGAAAGUGUGGGUAGCAAACAGGAUUAGAUACCCUGGUAGUCCACACCGUAAACGAUGAUUACUAGGUGUUGGAGGAUUGACCCCUUCAGUGCCGCAGUUAACACAAUAAGUAAUCCACCUGGGGAGUACGACCGCAAGGUUGAAACUCAAAGGAAUUGACGGGGGCCCGCACAAGCAGUGGAGUAUGUGGUUUAAUUCGACGCAACGCGAAGAACCUUACCAAGUCUUGACAUCCCUUGACAGACAUAGAAAUAUGUAUUCUCUUCGGAGCAAGGAGACAGGUGGUGCAUGGUUGUCGUCAGCUCGUGUCGUGAGAUGUUGGGUUAAGUCCCGCAACGAGCGCAACCCUUAUGGUCAGUUACUACGCAAGAGGACUCUGGCGAGACUGCCGUUGACAAAACGGAGGAAGGUGGGGAUGACGUCAAAUCAUCAUGCCCUUUAUGACCUGGGCUACACACGUACUACAAUGGCGUUUAACAAAGAGAAGCAAGACCGCGAGGUGGAGCAAAACUCAGAAACAACGUCUCAGUUCAGAUUGCAGGCUGCAACUCGCCUGCAUGAAGUCGGAAUUGCUAGUAAUCGCGGAUCAGCAUGCCGCGGUGAAUACGUUCCCGGGCCUUGUACUCACCGCCCGUCA